CGUGCGCAGCCUCUGACCAGAAAAUUCAACACUCAGAUCACCAAGCCACCAUCAUCCACCGCGCUGGAGGUCUCCUCCGCCGGCGGUGGAACACCAUAGUACAAAUUAAAACCAUCAUCGGGACCGUGACAACAUGCUUAUUUCGAAAUCGAGGUUAGUUUUAAUAGAUUGCUACCCUAAGAUCCAAAUAUAGGGGGAAAUCAUGAAGAACCUUAUAUCUUUAGGGAUAAAUUAAAUGACGAUGGUUCAUGGAUUCAUGACCAAACCUUAGGGCUAAUGGUCCCUAGAGUAUUGUCUACGAAAUGGUAACAAGAUCAUGGCAAAAAGAGAAGAAGAAUGUUUAUCUAUGAAACAGAGAUUUAUUCCAGCGAACGUUGAAUCAGAGAAGAUGAAGAUGCGACGGAAAAUCACUUGAACCAGGUAACUUUUGAUCCUAUCUUCCUUCUUUGAUUCUCUUCUUCUUCUGAAACUUCUUCUAUAAUCGAGAUAUGGAUGAAAUUAGAGGUAAUCAAGAGAGAUUGAACUGAGAGGAGGUUAUGCUCUACUCUAAUGAAGCUUCGAGGUGAAGCUUUAAUGGAGUAUUCUGAGAGCUCUGUGUGAGGGUGAAGAGAGGUUAUGAGAUGAAAAUUGAAUCUCAAAAUUUUGAGAAAUGUGAAAAUGAAUCAUGAUCCCCUGAAGAGUGAAUGAAUGAUUGUAUUUAUAGAUGUUAGGUCCUUCAAAUUUCUGUUAGAAAUUACAAAUGAAAUUCAACUAAAAUUCACAAGUUAGUUGGAAAUUGGAAUUCAGUUAGCUUGUGUCAGUUAGUUUCAAUUAGUGUGAAAGGUUUUGUGUUGUUGUGCAUAGGUUAGUUAAUGUGGUCUGCAAUCAUUUGUGUUGUUACUUGAGAGAUGCAGGGUUAAGUGAUUUUUUGAAUUUUGCUCUAUUACGAAUUUUGUAAGUGGAUGUGUUAUGAAUGAAAGGGAUAACUUGGUGUAUUGCAGGAUGAUGCAAAAUGAAUUGGGUGCAAUUUUUGUUAUGCCCUCAUGUAUGCUCAUGAUAAUGUCAUGUUGUAUUACAUGAUGAAUUGAUCUUCUUGUUGUUGAACAUUGCAGGUUGUUUAACAGGUCAACUUUUGCAAAAAUGUAAUUUUGAUUUCUCUUUGUAAUGAAACAAUGUAUUCUUUGGUAAAUAAUUGAAAAUCAAUGUUUUGAAUGGAAUGAUCAGGAGUGUUUGUGGAUUAAAAA
rnacentral:lncRNA from 1 species